rnacentral:rRNA from 1 species
UACGUAGGUGGCAAGCGUUGUCCGGAAUUAUUGGGCGUAAAGCGCGCGCAGGCGGUUUCUUAAGUCUGAUGUGAAAGCCCACGGCUCAACCGUGGAGGGUCAUUGGAAACUGGGAGACUUGAGUGCAGAAGAGGAGAGUGGAAUUUCCACGUGUAGCGGUGAAAUGCGCAGAUAUCGGGAGGAACACCAGUAGCGAAGGCGGCACUCUGGGCCGGUACUGACGCUGAGGAGCGAAAGCGUGGGGAGCAAACAGG